UAUUAGAUUGGUGAUUUUUCAUUCUGAGGCAGAGCAAGAUUCAUUCAUUUUCUCGCAAAAUUUGUUUUUUCUAGUUCUUUAUAAUGUGCAAUUACCUCAUUUUCUUCUUCUUCUUGUUCUUUCUCUCUUGUUGCUCCAUUUUCUUGGCUUGCUUGAUAUUUUUUUCCUCUGCAUGUUUUUAUCCGUAUAGAAAUUUUCUGUUUGACUUCAUCUUUUAUAUCACCAUGAUUCAUUAUAUAACACAUCUUUACGACUUGUACCUAAUUCUUUCAAUUUGGUUUGUUCGAUCCCUCAUAAUUCUAUGACGUGAUUGUCAGAAAAAAAACCUCUGUGAAUUAAUUAAUUUAGUUAUUUCCCUACACUUAUUAACAUUUUUCUUACCUUCACUGUAAUGUAGAUUUUUUUAUGUUUACUCCAGAAGUUCCUACUUCUACGGAAAGCCGUCGACCAGGAAAAUCAAUUCUAGAAGAUCCAGUGUACACAAAAGAUAUCAUGAAUGAUUCGGGAAAUUCUCCUGAUUCAGGCGAGUCACAGAGCAGUGACAGUGGCGCCAAAGAGUCCCUCCUGAAAGAUUCGUCCUUAUCAUCUAGCAGCAGCCAAGAAACUUUGACUUCAUCUUCAUACUUACCAUGUUCGAUUGAGACAACGGGAAGAAGAUUUGCCUGAAGAAGAAGAAGGCCAUUACAAGAGACCCCUAAACCCUUAAACCGGAAGAAUUGAUAGCCAAACUCGUCCAAUAAUUCCAUCUGGGAGUGCAAGCCAGCACGUAAAAAGAACAGACACAGUAGUUGUUGGGAAAAAAUUCAACCUUCUUCAAUGCUACUGAUCGUAGAAGAAGCCGAAACUGAUGAAAAAGCUGUGGGGGAUUCGCAGGUUACACCUAACACACCAAAAGUAUCAAGUAACAGACCUCGUGUUGAUGAAGAGGUGCAAUCAUUAAAGUUGCAAGAAAACAAUCAAUCAAGAACUACAUCAGCAGCAUCCGAACUAUUGAAUCAGAACUAAUACUACAGAAUGAUAGCUGCAACAUAUAAAAACAGUCAAAAAACGCUGAGACGUCAAGAGGAUAUGGCAAUCAAACUUAAUGCCCUUACUGAAUUCGUUUCGAAGCUAAGGUUUGACGUAGAUGAAUCGAGCGACAAAAAACAAAGUUUCAUUGCCGUGGAUAACCUAAUCGAAAAGUUCCCUAUGAACGAUUUAGCCGACUUAGAAAAUUUUGAAAGAAGGUUUAAAAGAACUUACUUUUUACUUUUUACUACUUACUUUUUUGUUGUUAAAAAUAUUUCAAAAAAAAUUGUUUUUUUUUUCAGUAUGCUGAUUGGAGGUUUAAACGAAGAUAAACUUCUAAGUAAUAUUUUAAAUUAUUGCUUGACUAUUUCAAUUGCUAGGAAGUUCUGUUGGACUGGAAGGGAGAAAAAGUUCAAUAAGGUUGGUCUUCGCCGAUUUAACGAUACAGAGCUCUUUGUUCUUGUAAAGAGGGUCGUCAGAAAACGCUUUGAAAAAAAUUUUAUGUCGGAAAAAUAUAAUGUCAGCAUUAAAUUUUUGUCAAAUCCCCUUACGUCCAAUAUCAGCAGCAGUGUUUCCAAAUCCAAUUUCUCUCUUGUUACCUUUGGAUGCACUGCCACCCUUAUUUUCGAUUUCACUAGAUGAACCCGUAACUCCCUUUAUUCCUAUUUUUCAAAAUCCAUUUUCAAAUUUUUAAACAUACUAAUGUAUUUCAUUCCAAAUAUUGAAAUGCUAAAAUAUGCUUUUAUAGUAACCCAAGUUUGCCUUAUCACAAUAAGGUCCGGUGUCUCCAACUCCAAUUUCACCCUUGAUACCCAUAUCCCCCUUAUAUCUCCCUUAGGUCCAAUAUCACCAGUGUUUUCAACUCCGAUAUCUCCCUUAUCCUAUUUGGGCCAACUAUCACCCUUUACUCCGCAGUCACCAGUUAAACCUGUAUCUUCCUUUGACCCUAGUAAAUGAUCAAAAUAACGCGUAAAAUUUAAGAAGUGGACUAAUAAAUAAGAAAAUACUAUUUAUAAUAACCCAAUUCACCCUUAGGUCCAGCGUCUCGAAAUCUCAUUUAGGUCCAAUAUCACAGGUGUUUCAUGUAAAAGUGUAUUGUUUAAGGUAUUUUUUUUAGUUGAAAGGUUUGUUUUUAAAUUUUAAAUUUAGGCUUGUUUAGAAAUGUCGUGGGUGGCUGUCGUUUGUCAUUUGUUUCAUCGCAAGCCUUUGCAACUACAGUGCCGACUUUAGUUGAAAAAAAUUUGAUUUUUUUCUAAAAAUAAAAUAAAUUCGUGAGCUUUUUAAAGGAACUAAUAAGAAAUCGAUUGACGUUUUUAAAAAAUGCAAUCGGGUGAAAAAUAGAUUAUAAGAAUUCGAGAAAAUAAAAAUUAAAAAAUUUUCUGACUUCACUGAAAAUAAAAAAAAUGCGUUUUUUAAUUCGCAAUAACUCCUUAACUAAUUAAAUAAAAAAUACAAAAUUAGACAAUACAUCUUUGUUUUUUUUUCA